rnacentral:tRNA from 1 species
GCAUCGAUAGUUCCAAUGUAGAACGGCGGCCUGAAGAGCCGCGCGCUGGUGGUUCAAGUCCAUCUCGAUGCACCA